AUGAUGGCCCUAACAUUCAUUGGUAGAGAAUCACAUGACAAAAUUAUUUAUAUUCAAGGGAUAGUUGGCAUGGUUUUCAGCGAGAUGGUUCAAGAGGGUUUAGUUGAAAAGGAUAAAUUGGACAUGUUUGAUUUUCCAGCACACCAUCCUACCGAAGAAGAAGUACGACAAGUGAUCGAGGCAGAUGGAUCUUUUACCCUUCAAAAAGUGAAGACUGAACAUUGA